rnacentral:rRNA from 1 species
GACGAACGCUGGCGGCGUGCUUAACACAUGCAAGUCGAACGGUAAGGCCCUUUCGGGGGUACACGAGUGGCGAACGGGUGUGUAACACUUGGGUGAUCUGCCCUGCACUUUGGGAUAUGCCUGGUAAACUUGGUCUAAUACCGGAUAGGACUACGCCAUGCAUUUCUUGUGGUUGAAAGCUUUUGCGGUGUGGGAUGGACCCGCGGCCUAUCAGCUUGUUGGUGGGGUGAUGGCCUACCAAGGCGACGACGGGUAGCCGGCCUGAGAGGGUGUCCGGACACACUGGGACGGAGAUACGGCCCAGACUAAUAAGGGAGGGAGCAGUGGGGAAUAUUGCAAAAAGGGCGAAAGCCUGAUGCAGAGACGAAGCGUGGGGGAUGAAGGCAUUGGGGUUGUAAACCCCGUUCAGCACAGACGAAGCGUAAGUGACGGUAUGUGCAGAAGAAGCACCGGCCAACUACGUG